ACUCCUACGGGAGGCAGCAGUAGGGAAUUUUCCGCAAUGGACGAAAGUCUGACGGAGCAAUGCCGCGUGAGUGAUGAAGGUUUUCGAAUCGUAAAGGCUCUGUUGUAAGGGAAGAAUAGCAAGAUACGAAAUUGAUUCUUGUCUGACGGUACCUUACCAGAAAGCCACGGCUAACUACGUGCCAGCAGCCGCGGUAAUACGUAGGUGGCAAGCGUUAUCCGGAAUUAUUGGGCGUAAAGCGCAUGUAGGCGGCUCUUUAAGUCUGAUGUGAAAGCCUGUGGCUCAACCACUGAAUUGCAUUGGAUACUGGAAAGCUAGAAUCUUGGAGAGGUAAGUGGAAUUUCAUGUGUAGCGGUGGAAUGCGUAGAUAUAUGAAGGAACACCAAUGGCGAAGGCAGCUUACUGGACAAGUAUUGACGCUGAGAUGCGAAAGUGUGGUAGCAAACAGGAUUAGAUA
rnacentral:rRNA from 1 species